AAACGGCGGCCGUAACAAUAACGGACCUAAGGUAGCGAAAUUCCUUGUCCACUAAUUAUGGACCUGCAUGAAUGGUGUAAUGACUGCCCCGCUGUCUCAAAAAUGGAUUCGGUGAAAUUGAAUUCUCCGUGAAGAUGCGGAGUGUAAGCGCCUAGACGGGAAGACCCUGUGCUUCUUUACUAUAACCUUUUAUUGAAACCUGGUUUAUCUUGUGUAGAAUAAGUGGGAGUUCCCUUUUGGGGACACUAGUGAAAUACCACUCUUGAUUAACUGGGACUCUAACCUUUUUUAAGGGACAUUGAAUGGUGGGUAGUUUGACUGGGGUGGUCGCCUCCCAAAGUGUAACGGAGGUGUACGAAGGUAGGUUCGAAUGGAUUGGAAACCCAUUCUUGAGUAUAACGGUAUAAACUUGCUUGACUGUGAGAUAGACAUAUCUAGCAGGGACGAAAGUCGGUCGUAGUGAUCCGGGAGUUCUUCGUGGAAAGGCUCUCGCUCAACGAAUCAAAGAAACGCCAGGGAUAACAGGCUAAUAACUCCCAAGAGUUCUUAUCGACGGAGUUGUUUGGCACCUCGAUGUUGAUUCAUUGCGUCCUGGAGGUGAAGACGCUUCCAAGGGUUCGGCUGUUCGCCGAUUAAAGCAGUACGUGAGUUGAGUUCAGAACGUUGUGAAACAGUUCGGUUCCUAUCUAGCGCUUAUUUUGAAAAAUUAAAAGGAUUUCUCUCUAGUACGAGAGGAUCGAGAUUAAGUGGACCUAUGGUUUAUCGGUUGUAUUGCCUAAUGCAUCGCCGACUCGCUACGUCUGUACAGACAACCGCUGAGAGCAUCUAAGCGGGAAGCUGUCCUUAAAACUUAUUUUUAGUUACGUAAAAGAUUAUUACGUUGAUAGGC
rnacentral:rRNA from 1 species